rnacentral:rRNA from 1 species
AUUGAACGCUGGCGGCAGGCCUAACACAUGCAAGUCGAGCGGAGCGGCGGACGGGUGAGUAAUGUCUGGGAAACUGCCUGAUGGAGGGGGAUAACUACUGGAAACGGUAGCUAAUACCGCAUACUAUCAGAUGAGCCUAGGUCGGAUUAGCUAGUUGGUGGGGUAAAGGCCUACCAAGGCGACGAUCCGUAACUGGUCUGCGAGGAUGAUCAGUCACACUGGAACUGAGACACGGUCCAGACUCCUACGUGAGGCAGCAGUGGGGAAUAUUGGACAAUGGGCGAAAGCCUGAUCCAGCCAUGCCGCGUGUGUGAAGAAGGUCUUCGGAUUGUAAAGCACUUGAAGUUGGGAGGCGUUACCCGCAGAAGAAGCACCGGCUAACUCCGUGCCAGCAGCCGCGGUAAUAC